rnacentral:rRNA from 1 species
CAGUCGCCGCGGGAAUACGGAGGAUCCAAGCGUUAUCCGGAAUUAUUGGGCGUAAAGAGCUCGUAGGCGGUUUGUCGCGUCUGCCGUGAAAGUCCGGGGCUCAACCCCGGAUCUGCGGUGGGUACGGGCAGACUAGAGUGAUGUAGGGGAGACUGGAAUUCCUGGUGUAGCGGUGAAAUGCGCAGAUAUCAGGAGGAACACCGAUGGCGAAGGCAGGUCUCUGGGCAUUAACUGACGCUGAGGAGCGAAAGCAUGGGGAGCGAACAGGAUUAGAUACCCCUGUAGUCCCUGUCUCUUAUAC